AUCGCUUCUCGGCCUUUUGGCUAAGAUCAAGUGUAGUAUCUGUUCUUAUCAGUUUAAUAUCUGAUACGUCCCCUAUACGGGGACUAUAUAUUAAAUGGAUUUUUAGCACUGGGAGCCGAAAGAGGGGCUUGCCCCGUUCGCUCCACGCAUCGACCCGGUAUUGCAGCGCCUCCGGGAACGGUGCACCCAUC